rnacentral:rRNA from 1 species
GACGAACGCUGGCGGCGUGCUUAACACAUGCAAGUCGAACGGCAAGGCCCUACGUUUGUGGGGUGCUCGAGUGGCGAACGGGUGCGUAACACGUGAGUAACCUGCCCUUGACUUUGGGGUGACUUCAGGAAGCUAGGGCUACUACCGGAUAGGAGCUCCCGCUGCAUGGAGGGGGUUGGAACGUCUCGGCGGUUGGGGAUGGACUCGCGGCUUAUCAGCUUGCUGGUGGGGUAGUGGCUUACCAAGGCUUUGACGGGUAGCCAGCCUGUGAGGGUGACCGGCCACAUUGGGACUGAGAUACGGCCCAGACUCCUACGGUAGGCAGCAGUGGGGAAUAUUGCACAAUGGGCGGAAGCCUGAUGCAGCAACGCCGCGUGCGGGAUGACGGCCUUCGGGUUGUAAACCGCUUUCGCCUGUGACGAAGCGUGAGUGACGGUAAUGGGUAAAGAAGCACCGGCUAACUACGUG